GUGAGGAAUAUUGCGCAAUGGAGGCAACUCUGACGCAGCCAUGCCGCGUGCAGGAAGAAGGCGCUACGCGUUGUAAACUGCUUUUAACCGGGAAGAAACCCCAGGACGUGUCCUGGGUUGACGGUACCGGAGGAAUAAGCACCGGCUAACUUCGUGCCAGCAGCCGCGGUAAUACGAAGGGUGCAAGCGUUAUCCGGAUUCAUUGGGUUUAAAGGGUGCGUAGGCGGAGCGUUAAGUCAGUGGUGAAAUCCUGCAGCUUAACUGUAGACUCGCCAUUGAUACUGGCGCUCUUGAGUGCGCUUGAAGUGGGCGGAAUGUGCCGUGUAGCGGUGAAAUGCUUAGAUAUGGCACAGAACACCAAUUGCGAAGGCAGCUCACUAAGGCGAUACUGACGCUGAGGCACGAAAGCGUGGGGAUCGAACAGGAUUAGAUACCCGUGUAGUCC
rnacentral:rRNA from 1 species